UUGAAAUAUUAUAAUUACUCUUCCGUGUUAUCGACUGCGACUGCGUAACGACCUUUUUCGAGUGUACGACGCAUUAAAAACAUUGGGCACUCGAGAUCAACUACCGGUGAAAACCGACCCGCUGGAUCACUUUCUUAUGUCAAUGAAAUUAUACCGGUAGACACAGAUAAAGGAGUUCGGAAAUUCGCUUCGUCUUCAAACGGGAU